AACCUCUGCAAUAGGCGAAAGCUUGACAGGGUUACUCUGAGUGAUGUCCGCUAAGGGCAUCUUUUGGCACUUCUAAAAAUAGUGUAGAAUAAGGGGUGGGCAAGUCUGGUGUCAGCCGCCGCGGUAAUACCAGCACCCCGAGUGGUCGGGACGAUUAUUGGGCCUAAAGCAUCCGUAGCCGGUUCUGCAAGUCUUCCGUUAAAUCCACCUGCUCAACAGA
rnacentral:rRNA from 1 species